CUCUGCAAGAUGUAAACUAAGAUCAAAGAGAAAACCAGUGUGUAUAUAAAAUAUACACCUUGUAUCACAAUGACCAAACAUCACUUGAGUACCUCUGAAGUACUUAUCAAACAUGACAAGAACAUUGUAUAUUCAAGUUAGUGUACAUAGUAGUUCACUUUAUAUGAAGUUCAUCAUAAAAGUCGUGACUUUACACUUUACAAAC
rnacentral:lncRNA from 1 species